rnacentral:rRNA from 1 species
GACGUAGGGCGCGAGCGUUGUCCGGAUUUAUUGGGCGUAAAGAGCUCGUAGGCGGCUUGUCGCGUCGACUGUGAAAACCCGAGGCUCAACCGCGGGCCUGCAGUCGAUACGGGCAGGCUAGAGUUCGGUAGGGGAGACUGGAAUUCCUGGUGUAGCGGUGAAAUGCGCAGAUAUCAGGAGGAACACCGGUGGCGAAGGCGGGUCUCUGGGCCGAUACUGACGCUGAGGAGCGAAAGCGUGGGGAGCGAACAGGAUUAGAUACCCUGGUAGUCCACGCUGUAAACGUUGGGCGCUAGGUGUGGGGGGCCUCUCCGGUUCCCUGUGCCGCAGCUAACGCAUUAAGCGCCCCGCCUGGGGAGUAUGGCCGCAAGGCUAAA